AGCCUUUAUCUCCACUCUGCGGAGAUUCACGCCUGGAAAACGCUCUUCUGAGAGGAUCUGUGGAGGUCAACCCAGGAGAGAGAAGACAGGACUGAAGCACUGAAAGGGUCCUGCCGUUAAGGGCGCAGGAUUGUAUAGAAUAUAUAAUAGCAGUAGCAGCUCUGUUUACGGAGCAUUAACCUUACGUGGAGUUAUUUCCUGCAUUUCCUCCUUUCGUCUUUACAAGGUAGCCGUUUGGCGUCGUGAGGUAUGGAUGUUCCCAUCCCUAAUUUGCAAAAUAGGUAACUGAGGCUCAGGAGAGCUAGACUAGUUUGUGCACAGCCGAGAAGUGGUCAAGCUAGAAUGGGACCCCAGGUUUGUGCUCCCUACUCUCCACCGAUAACCUAUCAAAGGGCUUUGCAAGAGCUUUUGACUAAUCGUCUGUCAAUGGUUCUUCAUUCACGUAUUAAUUGCACAUCAGUAUGUGCCAAAUCUACUAGACAUUGGAGAAACAGUAGGAACAACACAUGGUACCGGCACAUGGAUCUUUCAGGAAAACGAAGUAGGUAAUAAACAGGAAAAAGCCCGAGUCUGAUGCUAAGAAGAACAUAAACAGGAUGCUGAGAGAUUGGGUCUCUCCACAUUGCCCCGGCUGCUCUCCAACCCCUGAGUUCAAGUGAUUCACCUCCCUUGGCCUCCCAAAGUACUGGGAUUACAGGCGUGAGCCACCGUGCCUGGCUGAGAAGAUGGAUUUAAGACAUAUUUUGGAGGUAACAUUGUCAGGACUUCCUGAAGGAUUAGAUGUGGAAGGGAAGGAUAAGAAACAGACCAAGGAUAACUUUCAAAUGUAUGCUUAAGCAACUGGAUGGAUAAUGAUGCCAUUGAGUGAGUGAAAAACUUGAUGGAAGUGGAAGAUUCAGAGUUCAUUUCUAUCUAGGUUAAUUUGAGACAUACCAGAGCAUAAGUUAAGUAAGUAAUUGAAUAUUGGAGUGGAGACUUAUUUGUCUACCGAAUUAUUGUUUUCUUUGUCGGACAUACACCUACACUGCAUUCCUCAAAGUAAAAUUUAAGUGUGGCUCUGUGCCUAUGCUCUCCCCAGCGGAAAGUGACCAGAAGAGGUGUGCAGUUUCCAGGCCUGGCCCAUACAGACCUCCAACAGGUGCUCCCCUGUGCUGUUACUCCUUCUGCCAACUGGAAGCAGAUGGUGACCAGGCUCUGGAGAAGGCAAGGCCUGAAGAUGGGAGAUUCCUAAGUGGAGGAGAACUGUGCCUUACUGACCUAAAUAUCCACUCAGUAUUGUUAUGUGAGAAUAAAUAAACUUGUGUUGACCGUUU
rnacentral:lncRNA from 1 species